rnacentral:tRNA from 1 species
GAGUAAGUGGCGAAAUUAGGUAGACGCAUCAUAUUCAAAAUAUGACAACAUUGUUUUGAGGGUUCGAGUCCCUCCUUACUCA